rnacentral:rRNA from 1 species
UACGUAGGGGGCAAGCGUUGUCCGGAUUUACUGGGCGUAAAGAGCGUGUAGGCGGCCACGCAGGUCCGUUGUGAAAACUGGAGGCUCAACCUCCAGCUGUCGACGGAAACCGUAUGGCUAGAGUCCGGAAGAGGAGAGUGGAAUUCCUGGUGUAGCGGUGAAAUGCACAGAUAUCAGGAAGAACACCAAUGGCGAAGGCAGCUCUCUGGGACGGUACUGACGCUGAGACGCGAAAGCGUGGGGAGCGAACAGG